rnacentral:misc_RNA from 1 species
CGCGGUGUCCGCCAGCAGGCGAAGGCGAGACGGCCACCUGGCCGCAGUGCCUUGCGCAUGUUUGCAAAGGAGUCCGAGGGCCACGCAAAGAACAUGACACCGAAGCGGGAGAACAGCAUGUCCGCGCUCGUCGGAGCGAAGGGAUACACCGUCGCGUCCGCCAGCACGAANNNCCUCGCCCGGUGCAUUCGCCGGCGCAAGCUCUCGGGCCCGCCUCAGCAUCGGCUCGGAAAU